rnacentral:tRNA from 1 species
GGGGUAAUAGCUCAAUGGUAGAGCACGUGCUUAGCAUGCAUGAGGUCCUGGGUUCAAUCCCCAGGACCUCCA